rnacentral:piRNA from 1 species
UCACAGUGUGCUCCAGUCUCAGCCGGC